rnacentral:lncRNA from 9 species
CAGGAUACUUCAUUGGAAUUGUGACUUCUGAUUUUUAAUUUGGAGAUUAUAAAACAUGAACAAAGGAAAUAUUUCUCUCCAGCUAUUCUCUCCAGCUGUGUAUUCUUUUUCACUGAGCUUCUAAAAACAACAGUUUGGGUUGGAACACAAGAAAAGGAUGACACAAUUUAGGCCUUUAUCGAAAAUAGCCAGUUCUAUUUUCACGGAACUGAGGCAGCGUCAGGCCUGGGAGCCCUGGACGGUCUGGAUUUUCGUGGUCACCUUGAGUCCUGAGGACAAGGUGGAAACCUGUCAAUUUGGAAGAGACAGUGAAUUAGAGGUCAAGGCCGAAGUGAAAGGGAAUAAAAAUGACCGGAAAGUCUGAUGAAAGAAGAUCUACUAGAAAAAAUGAGGCUCCAAAUUCAUCACUGUUAGGGAGGAAGAGUGGCAAGGAAGUUAGUUGCGGCUUUUACAGCUUUCAAAAACAGUGUGACCAAUAAAGAAUUUUUAUCUCAAAUUUAUAUUUGCUUUAUGCCUUUGUUUUUAUGACUCUUCUCAUGACCAGUUGCUGCUUGGAUUUGCCAAAUGUGAUAUAGUUAUAAGGGAUCUAUACCUGUAUUCAUAUUUCAUUCCAUGUUGGGAAGCUGCCAGUAACAAAUGGGGCAGCUGAUAAGAGUUCCCAAGGGGGGGGGUGUCUCUGUGUUUGUUUUAUUUGCUAAAAUUUUUAUUGGAGUAUAGCUGACUUACAAUGUUGUGUUGAUUUCAGGCAUACAGAAAAAUGAUUCAGUUAUACAUAUGUCCAUCCCUUUUCAGAUUCUUUUCCCAUAUAGGUCACUACAGAGUAUUGAGUAGACUUCCCUGUGCUAUACUAUAGGUCCUUACCGCUCACCCAUUCCAUAUCGAGUCGUGUCGAUGUCAGUCCCCACCUCCUAAUUUAUCCCUUCCCUCAAUGUUUCCCCUUUGGUAACUAUAAGCUUGGUUUUGAAAUCUGAGUCUGUUUUUGUUUUGUGAAUAAGUUCUUUUGUGUCAUUUUAAAAAUUAGAUUCCACCUACUAAGUAAUCAGACGUCACUUAGUAUGAUAAUUUUAUUUAUUUAUUCAUUCUGCCUCACCCGCCUAUAACAUAUCGAAGUUCCCAAGCCAAGGAUGGAACCCACACUACAAGUACAAGAGCCACAACAAUGACAAUGCCAGAUCCUUAACCCACUGUGCCACAAGCAAACUCUAGUAUGAUAAUUUUUAAUUACAGUUUUAGUAUUUUAAAAUUCUUUAGAAUUUUUAAAAAACAUACACAGAAGUAGAAAGGGUGGUGCAAAGAGCCUAGCUCACAUACCUAACUCCAACAAUUAUUGCUUCAUGGCUAUUCUGAUUUCUUCUGUGUCACUUUGCCUUCUUCCUUGUAUCAUUUGAAGCAAUUUCAGAUAGGUCAUUUCUGCUCUAAAUAUUUUAUAUGUAUCUAAAAAAGAUAAGGACUCUCAAAAGACUCUGAAUACCAUUAUUACAUAAAAAAUGAAAAUUAAGACCUUAAUAUCAUCAACUAUACAGCCAAUGUUCAAAUUUUCAACUGUUUUACAAAAU